rnacentral:rRNA from 1 species
GCAUCGAUGAAGAACGCAGCGAAAUGCGAUACGUAAUGUGAAUUGCAGAAUUUAGUGAAUCAUCGAAUCUUUGAACGCACAUUGCGCCCCCUGGUAUUCCGGGGGGCAUGCCUGUUCGAGCGUCAUUUCACCACUCAAGCCUCGCUUGGUAUUGGGCGACGCGGUCCGCCGCGCGCCUCAAAUCGACCGGCUGGGUCUUCUGUCCCCUCAGCGUUGUGGAAACUAUUCGCUAAAGGGUGCCACGGGAGGUCACGCCGUAAAACAAGCCCAUUUCUAAGGUUGACCUCGGAUCAGGUAGGGAUACCCGCUGAACUUAAGCAUAUCAAUAAGCGGAGGA